AAAAUCUCAAGAAUAAUGAAAUAUGUUAUGUUGUGAGUGUUAGAAGGAAAGGGUUCAUUAAGAUCUUAAAAUUAAGCAUUAUAGAAUACCGUCAUUUGAAAAGAACAAAGUGGAGAGUGAUUAUGAAGAGAGAAAGAAAAAGUGAGUGGGGUUGAAAAGGUUCGAGUGUAGAGGAAGAGAGUAGAGUACAAAAAGAGUCUGAG
rnacentral:lncRNA from 1 species